rnacentral:rRNA from 1 species
CCUACGGGUGGCAGCAGUGGGGAAUAUUGCGCAAUGGGCGAAAGCCUGACGCAGCGACGCCGCGUGAGGGAUGAAGGUCUUCGGAUCGUAAACCUCUGUCAGCAGGGAAGAACGGUCACUGGGCUAAACAGCAGUGAAUUGACGGUACCGGCAAAGGAAGCACCGGCUAACUCCGUGCCAGCAGCCGCGGUAAUACGGAGGGUGCGAGCGUUAAUGGGAAUUACUGGGCGUCAAGCGCUCGUAGGCGGUAUGUCAAGUCAAGGGUGAAAUCCCCGCGCUCAACGUGGGAACUGCCUUUGAAACUCGCACACUGGAUUGUGUGCGCGGCUAGUGGAAUUCCCGGUGUAGGCG